rnacentral:tRNA from 2 species
GGGGGUGUAGUUCAGUGGUAGAGCGCAUGCUUAGCAUGCAUGAGGCCCUGGGUUCGAUCCCCAGCACCUCCA